rnacentral:rRNA from 1 species
AAGUCGUAACAAGGUUUCCGUAGGUGAACCUGCGGAAGGAUCAUUCCUAAAAAAUUAAUUAAUCCGUGCUAACUGUACCAACUGGCAAACUGCAUUGCAUUUGUCAAAAUUUUUAUUUUAGCUAUAUUGAUUAACGUAAAUAAUAAUAUUUUCAGCAAAGGAUCUCUUAGCUUUUGAUUUGAUGAAGAACAUGGCUAAAUGUGAUAAUUCAUGAAAAUUGCUGUAAUUUGGGAAUCAUGAAAUCGUUGAAUGCACCUUGCACUACUUUUGUAGUACAUUAGUUUCUGUGUUUAUUAAACCUUCCAUUUAUUGGAUAUUUGAGGAUUUAUUUUAAUUCCUUUCAAGAAAUUCAUUGCCACGACUUGACAAUUGAAACCAGAAACUAAUGAAAUAACCUGCUGAACUUAAGCAUAUCAAUAAGCAGAGGAAAAGAAAUUAACAAAGAUUCUUUCAGUAAUGGCGAAUGAAGAAAGAAAAGCCCAGUCUUUAAAUCAGGCUUGCCUGAAUUGCAAAGUGUAGAACCUCAAAUUUAACGUCAUAACUAAAUCUUUUGGAAUAAAGUGCAAAAUAUGGUGAUAGCCCAUUAUUAAGACUGCGAUUGAGUGUUCUCUGAGUCAAGUUGUUUGGGAAUGCAACUUUAACAGGUGGUAUACCUCAUCUAAGGCUAAAUAUCAUCAAAAGACUGAUAGCAUACAAGUACCUUGAGGGCAAGAUGAAAAGAACUUUGAAAAGAGAGUUCAACAGUGUGUGAAAUUGUUGGAAAGGAAACGUUUGAUUAUCCUAUAAUUGUCUGUGCAAGAUAUGUUUACAUGUUUGUUCUCAGACUUGAAUGCUGAAAUUUCUUGGGGAUGCUAAAACCGUUUUUGUCUCUGGUAUGUAUUUACUGUGCAAAAAUUUUGUUUUCCCCUUGAUGUUUUCAAUGCCGCUAUAAGAUUUAUCUCUGCGGCAAAUUCAGCAAUACAUAAUUAAAUGACC